UAAGAAUUUCACAUAAAUAGAAAUGUGAAAGUACGAUGUGCAACUGAGAAGUUGCCAUGAUUUUUUCUUUUCAGGCUGUUGGCAGCUCUGAAAUGAAUGGCUUCAUUUAAUCACAAAAGAAGGAAUACCAGCAAGACCACCCAGGCCCCAGCUCCGGUUUUUCCUGAAGAAUUUGGCCGCAUCUCCCUUUUUGAAGGCAGAGUUUCAUCUUAUGGGACCAUCUAGUUGCAGGAAAACAAGCUGAGUGAGGAUUCCCACUGAUUCUAUACUAUGAUCAUACCAAUCACCUCUGAGAAGCCCAAUCACUACAACCACUAACCACAACAUAAAUCAACGUGAGGACCUGAGAGCUCGCUUGCUCCCACUCUGUCCCUAGCCCAGCCUGGUUUUUCCAUCACAUGCUUCUUAGGCAGCAGGGAGCUGAGGCAGGGGGAACAUUUAGUUCCUUUUUCAAAGACUGGGAACACUUAAAAAUAUCUCCAAGUAAGCAACCAGCAUUCAGAGGAUGCUUAUUUACACUUUGUAGGAGCCUGGUGUUGGGACUCUGGCUCCUGGAUGGCGUCAAACCUGCCCUUGGGCUUGGCCGAGGCUGGUCUGGGAGUACCAUUUGCAAAUGGCUCUUGCUUCACGGUUGCAUCUCCAUCUGGGUAAACAACCUAGCGACAGCGCUGGCUCUUCUUAAGGCUGUCUGUUAUGGACUGAACUGUGUCCCUCUCAGAUUCACUUGUUAAAGUCCUGACCCCAGUACACCUCAGAAUGUGACUGUAUAUAGAAAUAGGGCAUGUAAAGCAGUCAUGACGGUUAAGUAAGGUCAUAUGGAUUGGCUCUAGUUCAAACGUGACUGGUAUCCUUCUAAGAAGAGGAAGAGACACCAGAGCUCACUCUCUUUCCACGCACACAAUGGCCAUGUGAGCACACUGUGAGAAGAUGCCAUCCGCAAGCCAAGAAGAGAGGCCUUGGGAGAAACCAAACCUGCUGUCACCUUGAUCUUGGACUUCCAGCCUCAAGAACUGUGAGAAAAUAAAUUUCUGCUGUUUAUUCCACCC
rnacentral:lncRNA from 1 species